GGCUUUAUUUUUUUCUGUCCGUAUUUUUCUACUUACGUUUAGAAUAUUUAUUAAAAGUAUAUAUAGUUGGCCUGUAUGGGUUGUAUUUAUGUUUAAAGAUGGUAAAUACCCCAUUUUUAUACUUGGUAUAUUUUUUUGCUUAAUAUUUACUGGGAUAGCCCCGGGGGGGGGGGGGGGGAACUGAACGUCCACUUUUUAGACACUGUCAGGUUGGAAGUUUGGCUGGGGCACGACUGUUAAAUGAUAAAUACAAGUGUCCCAAGGUGAGCUUAAUGAGAACGGAAACCUCCUGUAGAACAAAAGGGUAAAAGCUCACUUAAUAUUGAUGUUCAGUAUGAAUACAAACUGUGAAAGCAUGACCUAUCGAUCCCUUAGUCUUUACGAGGUGGUGUCAGAAAAGUUAC